rnacentral:rRNA from 1 species
UCCGUAGGUGAACCUGCGGAAGGAUCAUUACUGAACUGUCGACACGAGUUGUUGCUGGUCCUCAAAUGGGGGCAUGUGCACACUCUGUUUACACACACACUCACACCUGUCCACCCUCUGUAGUUCUGUGGUUUGGGGUGACCCUGUCCUCCUGCUGUGGUUCUACGUCUUUACACACACUCUGCGAUAAAGUCUUAUGGAAUGUAUGUCGCGUUUAACGCAAUAAAAUACAACUUUCAGCAACGGAUCUCUUGGUUCUGGCAUCGAUGAAGAACGCAGCGAAAUGCGAUAAGUAGUGUGAAUUGCAGAAUUCAGUGAAUCAUCGAAUCUUUGAACGCACAUUGCGCCCCUUGGUAUUCCAUGGGGCAUGCCUGUUCGAGCGUCAUUUGUACCUUCAAGCUUUGCUUGGUGUUGGGCGUCUUGUCUUUUUCUUCGGAAGCAGACUCGCCUUAAAGUAAUUGGCAGCCAGUGUUUUUGGUAGUAAGCGCAGCACAUUUUGCGUCUUCGUCUUCAAACAGCGGCAUCCAUAAAGCCUCUUUCUCACUUUUGACCUCGGAUCAGGUAGGGAUACCCGCUGAACUUAAGCAUAUCAAUAAGCGGAGGA